AACGAACGCUGGCGGCAGGCCUAACACAUGCAAGUCGAGCGGACCCUUCGGGGUUAGCGGCGGACGGGUGAGUAACGCGUGGGAAUAUGCCCUUCUCUGCGGAAUAGCCUCGGGAAACUGAGAGUAAUACCGCAUACGCCCUUUGGGGGAAAGAUUUAUCGGGGAAGGAUUAGCCCGCGUUGGAUUAGGUAGUUGGUGGGGUAAUGGCCUACCAAGCCGACGAUCCAUAGCUGGUUUGAGAGGAUGAUCAGCCACACUGGGACUGAGACACGGCCCAGACUCCUACGGGAGGCAGCAGUGGGGAAUCUUAGACAAUGGGGGCAACCCUGAUCUAGCCAUGCCGCGUGAGUGAUGAAGGCCUUAGGGUUGUAAAGCUCUUUCAGCUGGGAAGAUAAUGACGGUACCAGCAGAAGAAGCCCCGGCUAACUCCGUGCCAGCAGCCGCCGUAA
rnacentral:rRNA from 1 species